rnacentral:rRNA from 1 species
AGGACGAACGCUGGCGGCGUGCUUAACACAUGCAAGUCGUACGGGCUUGGGGGGCAACUCCCAAGUCAGUGGCGAACGGGUGCGUAACACGUGAGCAACUUGCCCUAUGGUGGGGGAUAGCCGGCCCAACGGCCGGGUAAUACCGCAUAUGGCGCCGAGGUCGCAUGGCCUUGGUGGGAAAGCGGCCGCAAGGUCGCGCCAAAGGUGGGGCUCGCGACGUAUCAGCUUGUUGGCGGGGUAAUGGCCCACCAAGGCUACGACGCGUAGCUGGUCUGAGAGGACGGCCAGCCACAUUGGGACUGAGAUACGGCCCAGACUCCUACGGGAGGCAGCAGUGGGGAAUAUUGGACAAUGGGGGCAACCCUGAUCCAGCAAUGCUGCGUGAGUGAUGAAGGCCUUAGGGUUGUAAAGCUCUUUCGCCCGCGACGAUGAUGACGGUAGCGGGAGAAGGAAGCCCCGGCUAACUUCGUGCCAGCAGCCGC